AUUGAACGCUGGAGGCAGGCCUAACACAUGCAAGUCGAGCGAGCGGCGGACGGGUGAGUAAUGUCUGGGAAACUGCAUGAUGGAGGGGGAUAACUACUGGAAACGGUAGCUAAUACCGCAUACCAUCAGAUGUGCCCAGAUGGGAUUAGCUAGUAGGUGGGGUAACGGCUCCCCUAGGCGACGAUCCCUAGCUGGUCUGAGAGGAUGACCAGCCACACUGGAACUGCGACACGGUCAAGACUCCUACGGGAGGCGGCAGUGGGGAAUAUUGCACAAUGGGCGCAAGCAUGAUGCAGCCAUGCCGGGUGUGUGAAGAAGGCCUUCGGGUUGUAAAGCACUGUCAGCGGGGAGGCGGUACCCGCAGAAGAAGCACCGGCUAACUCCGUGCCAGCAGCCGCGGUAAUUC
rnacentral:rRNA from 1 species